rnacentral:rRNA from 1 species
UACGAAGGGGGCUAGCGUUGCUCGGAAUCACUGGGCGUAAAGGGUGCGUAGGCGGGUCUUUAAGUCAGGGGUGAAAUCCAUGGAGCUCAACCGUCCAGAACUGCCCUUUGAUACUGAGGAUCUUGAGUUCGGGAGAGGUGAGUGGAACUGCGAGUGUAGAGGUGAAAAUUCGUAGAUAUUCGCAAGAACACCAGUGGCGAAGGCGGCUCACUGGCCCGAUACUGACGCUGAUGCACGGAAAGCGUGGGGGAGCAAACAGG